rnacentral:rRNA from 1 species
UGGGGAAUAUUGCACAAUGGAGGGAACUCUGAUGCAGCGACGCCGCGUGAACGAAGAAGGCUUUCGAGUCGUAAAGUUUUUUUAUAUGGGAAGAUAAUGACGGUACCAUAAGAAAAAGCCCCGGCUAACUACGUGCCAGCAGCCGCGGUAAUACGUAGGGGGCUAGCGUUGUCCGGAAUCACUGGGCGUAAAGGGUUCGCAGGCGGAAAUGCAAGUCAGGUGUAAAAGGCAGUAGCUUAACUACUGUAAGCAUUUGAAACUGCAUAUCUUGAGAAGAGGAGAGGUAAGUGGAAUUUUUAGUGUAGCGGUGAAAUGCGUAGAUAUUAAAAAGAAUAACGGAGGCGGAGGCCACUUACUGGGCUCAUUCUGACGCUGAGGAACGAAAGCGGGGGUAGCAAACAGG